rnacentral:rRNA from 1 species
UACGGAGGAUCCAAGCGUUAUCCGGAUUUAUUGGGUUUAAAGGGUGCGUAGGCGGCCUAUUAAGUCAGGGGUGAAAGACGGUAGCUUAACUAUCGCAGUGCCCUUGAUACUGAUGGGCUUGAAUGUACUUGAGGUAGGCGGAAUGUGACAAGUAGCGGUGAAAUGCAUAGAUAUGUCACAGAACACCAAUUGCGAAGGCAGCUUACUAAAGUAUGAUUGACGCUGAGGCACGAAAGCGUGGGGAGCAAACAGG